rnacentral:sRNA from 1 species
GCCAGGCGCAAUGGCGCACACCUGUAAUCCCAGUAGCUCAGGAGGCUGAGGCAGGAGGAUCGCAAGUUCAAAGCCAGCCUCAGCAAAAGUGACGUGCUAAGCAACCCAGUGAGACCCUGUCUCUA